rnacentral:rRNA from 1 species
UACGUAGGAGGCAAGCGUUGUCCGGAAUUACUGGGCGUAAAGCGCGUGUAGGUGGUGGGACAAGUCUGCUGUGAAAGCGCCUGGCUUAACCGGGCGAGGUCGGCGGAAACUGUCCGACUCGAGGACGGUAGAGGGGGGUGGAAUUCCCGGUGUAGUGGUGAAAUGCGUAGAGAUCGGGAGGAACACCUGUGGCGAAGGCGGCGAUCUGGGGAAGAUACUGACGCUGAGGUGCGAAAGCGUGGGGAGCAAACAGGG